GACGAACGCUGGCGGCGUGCUUAACACAUGCAAGUCGAACGGAAAGGCCCUGCUUUUGUGGGGUGCUCGAGUGGCGAACGGGUGAGUAACACGUGAGUAACCUGCCCUUGACUUUGGGAUAACUUCAGGAGACUGGGGCUAAUACCGGAUAGGAGCUCCUGCUGCAUGGUGGGGGUUGGAAAGUUUCGGCGGUAUGGGAUGGACUCGCGGCUUAUCAGCUUGUUGGUGGGGUAGUGGCUUACCAAGGCUUUGACGGGUAGCCGGCCUGGGAGGGUGACCGGCCACAUUGGGACUGAGAUACGGCCCAGACUCCUACGGGCGGCAGCAGUGGGGAAUAUUGCACAAUGGGCGGAAGCCUGAUGCAGCAACGCCGCGUGCGUGAUGACGGCCUUCGGGUUGUAAACCGCUUUCGCAUGUGACGAAGCGUGAGUGACGGUAAUGGGUAAAGAAGCACCGGCUAACUACGUG
rnacentral:rRNA from 1 species